UGCUGGCAGCUUGCUGCCAGUGAGCUGCCUCUGCCUACAGUUCCGUGGGGUAUAGGGAGAACACUGCUGUGCCCGAUGAGAACUGAAUUGCAUUGCAAUUUCAGGCUGAUUCGUUUCAACAUCCCCAUGCAGAAAGCUUUCAACAGAAGUGCCGUGGUUAGUGGCAGACAAGCAAGAAUCAUGUGGGAAAAGGAAAAACGUGUUUAAAAUCCAGCAAAAUCCACCUCCUUUGAUUUCAUCUGAAGUU